rnacentral:rRNA from 1 species
GGGGUGCAGCAGGCGCGAAAACUUUGCAAUACACGAAAGUGUGACAGGGUCAUCCCGAGUGCCGACCGCUGAGGUUGGCUUUUACCCAGUCUAGAAAGCUGGGGGAAUAAGGAGAGGGCAAGUCUGGUGUCAGCCGCCGCGGUAAUACCAGCUCUCCGAGUGGUGUGGACGUUUAUUGGGCCUAAAGCAUCCGUAGCUGGCUGAACAAGUCCCCUGUUAAACCCACCGAUUUAAUCGUUGGUCUGCGGGGGAUACUGCUCGGCUAGGGGACGAGAGAGGCAGGCGGUAUUCUCGGGGUAGGGGUGAAAUCCUAUAAUCCCGGGAAGACCACCAGUGGCGAAGGCUGCCUGCUAGAGCGCGCCCGACGGUGAGGGAUGAAAGCUGGGGGAGCGAACCGGAUUAGAUACCCGGGUAGUCCCAGCUGUAAACGAUGCAGACUAGGUGUUUGGACGGCCACGUGCCGUUCUAGUGCCGCAGGGAAGCUGUUAAGUCUGCCGCCUGGGGAGUACGAUCGCAAGAUUGAAACUUAAAGGAAUUGGCGGGGGAGCAC